UACGGAGGGUGCAAGCGUUAUCCGGAUUCACUGGGUUUAAAGGGUGCGUAGGAGGGCAGGUAAGUCAGUGGUGAAAUCCCCGAGCUUAACUUGGGAACUGCCGUUGAUACUAUCUGUCUUGAAUAUUGUGGAGGUAGGCGGAAUAUGUCAUGUAGCGGUGAAAUGCUUAGAUAUGACAUAGAACACCAAUUGCGAAGGCAGCUUGCUACACAACUAUUGACUCUGAUGCACGAAAGCGUGGGGAUCAAACAGG
rnacentral:rRNA from 1 species